AUUGAACGCUGGCGGCAUGCCUUACACAUGCAAGUCGAACGGCAGCACGGGAGCAAUCCUGGUGGCGAGUGGCGAACGGGUGAGUAAUAUAUCGGAACGUGCCCAGUAGUGGGGGAUAACUGCUCGAAAGAGCAGCUAAUACCGCAUACGACCUGAGGGUGAAAGGGGGGGAUCGCAAGACCUCUCGCUAUUGGAGCGGCCGAUAUCAGAUUAGCUAGUUGGUGGGGUAAAGGCCUACCAAGGCAACGAUCUGUAGUUGGUCUGAGAGGACGACCAGGCACCAUGGGACUGAGGCACGGCCCAGACUCCUACGGGAGGCAGCAGUGGGGAAUUUUGGACAAUGGGCGCAAGCCUGAUCUAGCAAUGCCGCGUGCAGGAAGAAGGCCUUCGGGUUGUAAACUGCUUUUGUCAGGGAAGAAAUCCUCUAGGUUAAUACCCUUGGGGGGAUGACGGUACCUGAAGAAUAAGCACCGGCUAACUACGUGCCAGCCGCCGCAGUAAUAC
rnacentral:rRNA from 1 species